AGCUGACUAUGGACUGAAACCUUUGCAAACUGUGAGGAAGCGACUCUGAAGUAAGCUCUGUCUUUGAGGCAACCAAAUGCAGCAGCCUCCUCUCCUGUGAGAUGCGCAGCACCGCUGCAAGUAGAAAAUUCUGCUCUUCACGUAACGGUCACUUGGUCCCACCAUUCCCAGGACCAGAAGAGAAAGCCCAGGGCCGGGGAACAGCGAUUUGCUGCAGUCAAGACAGUGGUAAGAAACCGGGCAGUUGCACCCAAAUCUGCUCUCUUCUGGGGAUAAAGAGAGUAUGUCGGGUCGUGUGCAGGCUGUUAGGGUCGUGAGGAUUCAUUCGGAAACAGCAGAAGGCCUUCUGGAAUUACAAGAAAUUCAAGGUGUGUUCAGAAAGGCCCUCAACAUACUCCAGCGUGAAUAGUCUUUUAAUUUGGUAAAGAAAUCCCUGAGUCUUAUUUGAUGGAAAACUGAUCGAUGAAAGAGGCCCAGUGUGAGAAUGCUUGACCGUCUCCCCGGAAAGCCCUAGGCCCUUCCGCCAUCACGUGCGGCGGGAGGUGUGGUCUGGAAGGCCAGUGUGCCUCGCAGCGAGGGGAGCUCAGCUGCCAGGCCGUGAAGGUCGCAGCCAACCUUUUGCCUCUGGAGCUGUGAAGUCGAAGUCACACCCGGCUGUUCACUGACGCCUGCCGGCUCUCUGCUCAGGCCGGCCGACACCGGUGCCAGCACAGUCGGCAGCGAGCUCUUAAACCGUCUCAGCGUUCUCCGUCAGCUUCCGCAGCAUCUUUGGGGACAUGUCCUCCGUGGACGUAUCUUGUAGAAGGCAAUUAAAAUAAACGAUAACACAUCCACUGAAAAGGCCGUUGAGCCUGAAGCACACACAGUCUUCCCCACCUCGCCCCGUACCUACGGGGACCGGGGACGGGAGCGGAAGGCGUCUGAGAGCCCACCGCGGAGCCGACCCUGCUCUCCUGACUGCCAGCUCAGUUAGCGCUCUCCUCUGGAGAGAGGGGCUGACCCUGCUGUACUCCGCGUGCUCCCUGAGGCAGUGUCACUAAUGAAGUCCUUCUCUAGGGGCCCGAGGCAGCCACGUGGGACAGCUUGUUAACACCCCCAAGCGUAGAGGGAGCCCUCACUUUCUCACAGUGGCCCUGUGCCCCUCAGGAGCCCGCUCUGCACACACGCAGCCCGAGCCCCGUGGGAGCUUAGUGGGGAAGCACUGGGAGCCCCACCUGCGGUGCCCGCGGGGUUCACCCCUCCCUGCAGCUGCCAGCCCCGCUGCCCAGCAUGGACCACUUCUGGGUGAGCUUUCUGUGUCUGGGGCCCCGUCCUGCACUGCGACCUCCAGGAGGUGCACUUCUCCCCCCAGGCUUGUUCUGGUUUCCCAGGGUAGCUCCAGUACUAUCUUCUGCUACGGUGAUAUCCACUAAGUGCACAGAAAGAUCCCUACAUUCAGAAUGAAAGUUGACAGUAGACAGUGUUUUGAAUUAAGAGAGAGGGGUUCAAGUUGGAAGCAGUGGUAUGCACCUUUAGUCCUAGCUACUCGGGAGGCUGAGGCAGGAGGAUCCCUGAGUCCAGAAAUUCAAGACCAGCCUGGACAACACAGCAAGAGCCCAUCUCAACAACAAAAGGUGGGGAAGGGAUAGCUGAAGAACAGAAUUUAAAAAGGAGAACACAGAAUCUGGACAUUCCCAGAAUGGAAUGUAGGGGCAGAGGGACAUAACCAAAAACCGAGGGGAAAACAUAGACGAGUAAUCUUGUUUAUCUGUGGCUGAUGACUGCAAGAUCCUCACGUAUCAUGCACCAUACGCUUGAGAAAAUGUACCCUGCUGUGUCCUUAUGAAGGUGUUACUCACAUUUACUUAUGCUGACCUGACCCCUUCCCAGAAACAAAGGCCAUGACACUGACUGGCAUAGGCCCCCAGUCAGUGAAACAGUUACUCUGCCUCCCACUGUACCAGCACUGACUCCCCCAUUUCUCGCUAAGAGCCCCACUUCUCAUCCUCCGCUGAGCUGAGGGCACAGACCUGAAGAGAGGUGAGGAUCUCUGAACGCCUCCUGCUGGAUGUGACAGCGGGAGAAACUCCCCCGCAGGGAGCUGGGCAGACCCCCUGUCCAGUCCCUCCCACUGAAUAGAGUGUGGCCUGUGUCACUGAAGUGUGGUGGCCUGGCUUGGCUACUCCCUCACCCUUUGAGCACCUGAGUUCAGUUCUCAUAAAUUAAGUGCAGGUUCCACACAAAUACUGAAGGUCUUUGCUGGAAUCUUCCCACUGUUAAGGUCAAGGAAACUCCUAAGUGUUCUGAUCACCUAAGUAAAUCAUACUUUUGAGCCUCCAGGGCCAACUUGGACGUUUCCUUCAGGAAACACAGUUACCAAUGACUUAAGCAAAGGGAGGACCAGGUAUGCAGAUAACAAUGUGGUUCCUGCUCAGGUCAGUUUUCUGCUCUUCCUACUAGCUGGUCAAAUCAAUGACGUGUGAACCUCGCUAUUUAUGUAUUUCCAGGGCUAUAAAAAUCAUGGCCAUGCAAAGGGAUGGAAAACACAUCCCUUGAAUGCCACAGCAAAAGCCUCACCUGCAAAACAAACAGAUACUCCAUUUUCCAAACUCCAGGUUAGCCCAGGCCGGGUGUCACACAGGGGCCAACUCUUCAGGUGGGGGAAGCCCUGCACAGGACCCACCGACAAUUGCUGAUUGAUUUAUUAGUGGGAGAAAUUUUGGAAUUGUGUUCUACUGUUGGGAUUUACUUGCAUUUGAAAGCGAUGCAGUUAGUAGUACAUCUUUCAACACUGAAUGUGUUUUCUCUGCUUUUAUAUCUUUCUGAUGAAUUAAGCGCUUGUGUAAGGUGAGGGAUUGAAAACAUUAGCAGUCAACUCUCUUCAGGGAUCUGCCUGCCAGAUACACUGCAUGGAAAGCAGAGAGACUGAGCCACACCGCUCCUCCAACCAAGUGCUACCAGCCAGGAGCCUCGGUGCCUCCCCAGUGCCGCAGUGGUUUCCAAAGGGAGCAGACGUAGGUGUACCAGAAGUCCUUGAAAUGAAGCCCUAAGGAUCCUGCGGCUCCCCUGCUCGUUCUCUGGCAUCCAGCCCCCACCCCCAGGCUUUUUAAAGAGAAUCAGCUCUGCACAAUCUGCUCCUCUCCUUUGCUCCUUUUGGUCCUCACAUCAACAUUUGCCAACGUAUUAGUAAAUCUUUAAGCACAGGUCAUUACUCCCCAGAGAGGAGCCACUGGGCAAGGGCCUGGAGACCCGAGCUGGACGUCAGCGGAAGGAGAGUGUGCAAGGCGUCCGGGGCAGUUGCUACUUGGGAGAAGCCAAACCAAGCUCAGGACAGUGAAUGUCGGUGCCACCUUCUUGGGGCUUUUUUUUUUGACUGGUUUUCCCGUGGAGCCACCCAACCUGUACCACUGCCCUGCAUCGUAGGUCGCGUUUGCCUACCGUGAGAGCAGCCUGCAUCAUCCCUUUUCCCUGGAUGCACAUAGCUCUUCGACAGGAAAUGCACUUUUCUAAUUGAGGGGCCCAGGCAACCAAUUAGCUAAGUGCUCCUCCAUGGCCCGCGCCUGGAAAACACAGUCAAGAGCCCAUUAAAAGCCCUUGACACAUUUUAGCACCCAAGCUAGAGAUGUCUCUGGCCAGGAUGAUGGCAGCUCUGCCGUAUGGAGCAGAGCAGUAAGAGUGGAAUUCGUUAUGGUCAGAUCCCUAUUCCUCAAGGGUCAUUUGUCAAAGCUGCAAAGAAGCCCUUGUCACUUUGCUCAUUUUCUUGAUCACAAAGACUCACCUGAACUGGUGUAUGCCCAGGGCCUAGAAAUCUCCACGCUGCCUGUUCAGCAGGCAGGCCACCGUCUGCUUCCUGUAGGGCUUUCUUUCUGGGCUGGAGGAAGGUCUGUUUACGCAGCUUCUCUGGCCCCUCACCUGCCCAGCAUCCUCCCUUCACGCCCAGGGCAGACCAUCAGCUGUGGUGUGGGCAGGAGCAAGACCCUCUUCGAAUCUGUGCCUUCUCCGAGGGCCACCCAUGGCCUAGGCCAGUGGUGGUGAACCUGUGGCACGCAUGCCGCAGCACGCUGUUUGUAUCACGGAAAGCGCGGAAAGGUUCGCCAUCGUUGGCCUAGGAGAUGGGGCAUGAAGGGAAAGAAAUCAGAAACAAGAAGUCUUCGUUCGUUUCACAGCUCGCCUUUCUCUGGGGCUUUGCAAGGCUUCCUCAGACAGAGAGCUUCUCGCCUGGUCCUGGAGCGCAUUACCCUCUAAAGCCUGAAUGGCCCUGGGGAAGAGUCGUGGCGCAGGAGACACCCAGGCAGACCUGGUUCUGAAUUCCAGCUCUGCCAGUCCUUAUCUAUGUUACCUGGGAGCUGACUCCCCUUUCUGGGUCCUUGUUCUCCUACUGCGGGUGGGGGACAAUUCCACUCUCAUCCGACGUCUCUGGGGGGAAGCCGGGCCCCUUGGCAGCCACUCCACAAGCGUGAUGGCGCUUCAGCUCCCGGCCGCCCCCUCAUAAUGCCUGGGGUUAUUUACCAGUGCCCAGAGGUCGCUAAGGCUGCUUCAUCUUUGGGUUUCCCACUCUUAACGUUAUUCAGACCCACAGAAAGCCCUCCGUGAAUACUGGUAGUAAAUCCAGGCUGUUUCAUUUUCUUAACAGUGGCUCCUAUAUCUCUCCUAAAAAUGAAAGCCUCCUGUUCUACUGUCCUCUUAAAGCUGAGGAGAGAUACGACAGGAACGGAACUGGAUAUGCAGUCUUGCCCCUCACUCUUGGCUCUGCGGGGCGGUGGAGGCUGCACCAUCAAGGUCCCUGCAGCCUGCAGUGUCCGCUGUCUGCCAGGGUUCUGGUGGACCCGCGAAGCAGUCUGUCCCGUUGUAAGCGCCUGGGACCGGGCUCUCAACAGACAUCUCACAGGCAAGUCCGGCCAGACGGGGCAGGCAGUUACAUCAUCAGAUCCUGCUGCAAGUAUCGUCCAGUCCACAUACUCUGGCUUUACAUGUGCAAAGAAGCACAUAAGCUUCUUCAUAAGCUUGGGCUCCGGCACCAGAAUGUUUCUGAACACAUGUGCACUUAAAUUGUUGGGGACCUGGAGAAGUAUUUCAGUCACAAUAAUCACUGCUAACUGGGAGAAGGAAGCAGGUGAGGGUGACUGCAGCCUAGGGGCACCCUCACUUGCUGAUCAUGCGCCUGAUUACAUAGGUGGUGCUCUCUUCAGCACAAAGGGAACCCCCAGUCUCUCUCUGACUCCACUAUGGGGCCAACCAAGCAAGAAACCCCUAGAACUGAGCCAGUCUAUGUGCUGUGUCCCUGCUGAUCCCCCGCGCCUCCCCAGUGCUCAGCCUGGUCUUUCUCACUGAGCUGUGUUGAAAGGCAGUUCUCCGCUAAGCAAAUACUGUUGGUCCGAAGCCAAGGCACUUGGAAGUGAGUUAAUCCUUUCUCCAUCAAAGUCCGCGACAGCAAUCUGGGUUUGCUUAACCACUUCGUGUUGGUAUCCAGUGCUUCUUCAUAAACACGAAGGGAAUCACCCACGUUGGCCAGGGUCCAGAGCGGUUGUCACAGCCAGGCGUGUGUUCACUCUGGCUUUCAACGGGUGGCUGCCUUGCGCCCAUCACACGAGAAGAAGGUGGUCCCUGUCCAGCAGAGGUGUGAAAGUUACUGCACUGAACUUGGGUAGCACCUAAUGUGUAUGGACGACCAGGCUAAGCUCUUUUCAGGCAGCCACUCCCUUAACUCAGGGCAUCCCUGGAGGUAGGUGCUUUAUUAUGCCCACUCUACAGAAGAAGAAACUGAGGCACUGUGAGGUUAAAUAACUUGCUGCUGAGUCCUUGGUCAUGGAUUCAAACCCAAGAGUCUAUUGAAUAGAUGUACCCGGUACCCUCCAGCCUCUGCAACAGGGGCACCCUCUCCGGUAGCCACAGACUGGUCUGCACAGGCUUCGGAAGUCCUGCUCUCCAAGUAGGCAGUGUCUCGGGGAGGAGAUCAUGGGGAUGAAGGCCGGGCUGGGCCAGAGAGGCUUCCGUCUCCCUGAGCCCCUGGAGGCGCCCCCUCCUCACCCUGUCUCCUGCUGUCCCUAGCCUCGCUGUCUGAGGAAGUCUUUGGUCCAUCACCUUCCUGCUGGAGGGCCCCAUCCAGGCGCUCGAACCCUGCACGGCCCAGAGAGGGCAGGGAAGAGGGUGUGAACCGCACUCUGACCUUCCAUCACGACCUCCCUUAAUACCUGUAAGAUGAUGCACCACACAAUGGGAGUGCUUCACAUUUUGGAUCUGGGAACUUUAUAAUGUUCUCUUCCUGUGGGUUCUGGAAAGUAGACCUUCAGGGUUUUUGUGUACAGUGCUGAGCUUUCCUAAGUAAUUUUCUACAGCAUUUCCCAUGUUUGUGAUGACUCUGAAAUUUCUGUGUUUUCUCUAUGUAUCUAUUUAAACGUUAAAUAGCACAUUGCUGGGGUCAUUUGUUAUAGUUGCCAUUUAAAUAUCCAUCUAUAAGACAAAGAGCUCUUUGAGGAGACAACGUUUGCAUCUUUGUGGCCCAAUGUUGACUUGGCUCAUGCUAAUAGCAAAAAGUACUGGUAACCAGAUAAUUGGAUUUAUGUGAAGUCCCACAUUAAUUCUACAGAUGGGGAGAGGAGAGAAAAGGAAUGUUAAUUUUGGCAUAGCAGAGUGAAUUUUUUGUUUUUCAGUAUUGGGGAUUGAAUCCAGGUCCUUUGCACUGAGCUACA